rnacentral:RNase_P_RNA from 1 species
CCAGUUGACCGGGUGACCGCUGGCAUGCGGGUAACUGCAUGCCGGAGGAAAGUCCGGGCUCCAUCGAAACACGGUGACGGCUAGCAGCCGCCGGGGGCGACCCCAGGGAAAGUGCCACAGAAAGCAAACCGCCCGCCUACGCUGCUUUGCAGCUACGGCGCGGCAAGGGUGAAAGGGUGCGGUAAGAGCGCACCGGGCGUCUGGCAACAGAAGCCGCACGGUAAACCCCACCGGGAGCAAGACCAAAUAGGGAUGACGCGGGGAAACCCAGCCUGUUUCGAGGCCAUGUCGUCCGGGUUGGUUGCACGAGCGCGCUGGCAACAGCCGCCUCAGAUGAAUGGUCACCACGUCGCGGCAACGCGGCCCUACAGAACCCGGCUUACAGGUCAACUGGCGUU